CGAGCUUCAGCCGCAUGGCUAGGAGCUGGAAAGAAUUUCGGUCAAGGAUGGACUCGCGGCCUAUCAGCUAGUUGGUGAGGUAAUGGCUCACCAAGGCGACGACGGGUAGCCGGCCUGAGAGGGUGACCGGCCACACUGGGACUGAGACACGGCCCAGACUCCUACGGGANGCAGCAGUGGGGAAUAUUGCACAAUGGGCGCAAGCCUGAUGCAGCAACGCCGCGUGAGGGACGACGGCCUUCGGGUUGUAAACCUCUUUUAGAAGGGAAGAAGCGAAAGUGACGGUACCUGCAGAAAAAGCACCGGCUAACUACGUGCCAGCAGCCGCGGUAAUACGUAGGGUGCAAGCGUUAUCCGGAAUUAUUGGGCGUAAAGAGCUCGUAGGCGGUUUGUCGCGUCUGCUGUGAAAACUGGAGGCUCAACCUCCAGCCUGCAGUGGGUACGGGCAGACUAGAGUGCGGUAGGGGAGAUUGGAAUUCCUGGUGUAGCGGUGGAAUGCGCAGAUAUCAGGAGGAACACCGAUGGCGAAGGCAGAUCUCUGGGCCGUAACUGACGCUGAGGAGCGAAAGCAUGGGGAGCGAACAGGAUUAGAUACCCUGGUAGUCCAUGCCGUAAACGUUGGGAACUAGAUGUAGGGACCAUUCCACGGUUUCUGUGUCGCAGCUAACGCAUUAAGUUCCCCGCCUGGGGAGUACGGCCGCAAGGCUAAAACUCAAAGGAAUUGACGGAAUCGA
rnacentral:rRNA from 1 species